rnacentral:lncRNA from 1 species
CAUGUUUUACUUAUAACAAGAAGAAAGUCCCUUUUCUAUUUUAUUUGAUGAUGUUCGAUUAUUUGUUGGAUAGUAAUUUUAACUUUAUAUUUUCCUUUUCAAUUUAUAUAACCUAUAAAUCUGUCAUCUCAGAAAUGUGGAGACAAGUGCUUGCUUUACUUGAAAAAGUCAUAGAGAAAUUGUGAAAGCCAUAAUUUUAUGUAAAUUAUAUGAACUGAUAAGGAUUCUUUAAUUCCGCUAUUUCUCUAUUGAGAGUCCCACAUUAACUAGAGAUGUGACCAAAUAAUCAUUAUAAAGGCUAGAGCAAUCCUCACUUUUAAGCUAGCUUUUGAUGUAUAGCUGCUACCACUACUAAUCCUUCUGUCCCUUUGGCUUUUUUCAGAGGAAUAUAAAGUUUUGGUUAAUUUCAAAGUGAGAGAGAAUGAGAGAGGGAACUCAGUUUUUUGGGGGAUGUGAAGAGUGAGCAGUGGAUGAAUGAGAAAAUGCAUUGACAAUCUUUGUUACUUACUCACUACUCAACUGUGUUUGUUUCUAUGUUCAUUUCUUCACUCUUUCUCUCUCUUUAAUCAUUAUCAUCAUCACCAUCAUAUUCUUCUUCUUACCUUCAAUCUUCUUGCCUUAUUAGAUUCUUCUUUCUCUUAGAUUUUUUCCAACUCAAGUUAUUCCCUUUCUUUUCUCUUCUUUCUUUCUCACUCACUUUGUUUCUAACAUGACUUCCUAGAAAGUGGUUUCUCACUUUCUCUAAGUUUGUUUUAAUUUUACCUUAAAAUCGAUUCUAAGUUACAACUUAUAGUUUGUGACUUAUCUCAAGAUGUUUCUUGUGCAUUUUGGCAUUGAAUGAGCAUAAGGUUGCAAGGUGAAUUUGGAACCUCUAAAUGUGAUAACAUAUUGAUUAAGCAUGAGUAUAGAUGUCCACCUUGUGACAUAUGUAUAUCGUUCCAAAAAUAAUUUAGCCACUAGAUUUGCAUUAAAAUCUUAUAAUGGUAGACUAUGACAUAUCUUUUUUGUACAAUUUUAUUGAUUGGUAGCGGGACACAGCUUCUUUAAAAAGAGUACUUAUAAGUUAUAAUUCUUAUGUGCAGGUAUAUAUGAGAAUCCACACAAAUAAAAAUAGUUGUCAUCAUGGUUGAUACACCAUAAUAAAAAAUUUGUGGGAUCUUGAUACAAAGAGGUGGCUGUCUUGUGGAUUAUAGACAUCUCCUUGAUGUGCUUUGUUGUGAAUUGGAUGUGCUUUGUGGUGAGCUAUAGUCUGUGGUUUUCUGUGAACUGUUAUGGGAUGUAGUGUUAUAGGUGUUAUGUUCGUUAUGCUUUUUAUUCUACUCUGCGUUUUCUUUUUUCUUGACCAUAAGUUUAUAUUUUUCUGCCCUGUUGGUUUCAAUAGUUUUUUUUUAUUUCAGAGUCAAUGUAUGAGGAAGAAGUUGAUUGAAGAGUUAAGACCAGUAAAGGAAUUGAGAGAGGGAGAGAAAAAAUCGUAGGAAUGAAACAAGGAAUACAGU